UACGUAGGGGGGCAAGCGUUGUCCGGAAUCAUUGGGCGUAAAGCGCGCGUAGGCGGCCAGAUAAGUCCGGUGUGAAAGUCACAGGCUCAACCUGUGAAUGCCGCUGGAAACUGUCUGGCUUGAGUCCGGAAGGGGCGAGUGGAAUUCCUGGUGUAGCGGUGAAAUGCGCAGAUAUCAGGAGGAACACCGGUGGCGAAGGCGGGUCUCUGGGACGGUACUGACGCUGAGACGCGAAAGCGUGGGGAGCGAACAGG
rnacentral:rRNA from 1 species